rnacentral:sRNA from 1 species
UACUUGGUUUUCUAGGGUUCCGCAGCUGAUUCCGGCUGGUCUGGUCCGAGGGAAAACGCACGGAUAAGAAUCGUCCGUGUCUACACGGAGGGAUAAAAGCCCGGGAGGU